rnacentral:rRNA from 1 species
AAAUUGAAGAGUUUGAUCAUGGCUCAGAUUGAACGCUGGCGGCAGGCCUAACACAUGCAAGUCGAGCGGUAGCACAGAGAGCUUGCUCUCGGGUGACGAGCGGCGGACGGGUGAGUAAUGUCUGGGAAACUGCCUGAUGGAGGGGGAUAACUACUGGAAACGGUAGCUAAUACCGCAUAACGUCGCAAGACCAAAGUGGGGGACCUUCGGGCCUCAUGCCAUCAGAUGUGCCCAGAUGGGAUUAGCUAGUAGGUGGGGUAACGGCUCACCUAGGCGACGAUCCCUAGCUGGUCUGAGAGGAUGACCAGCCACACUGGAACUGAGACACGGUCCAGACUCCUACGGGAGGCAGCAGUGGGGAAUAUUGCACAAUGGGCGCAAGCCUGAUGCAGCCAUGCCGCGUGUAUGAAGAAGGCCUUCGGGUUGUAAAGUACUUUCAGCGGGGAGGAAGGCGAUAAGGUUAAUAACCUUGUCGAUUGACGUUACCCGCAGAAGAAGCACCGGCUAACUCCGUGCCAGCAGCCGCGGUAAUACGGAGGGUGCAAGCGUUAAUCGGAAUUACUGGGCGUAAAGCGCACGCAGGCGGUCUGUCAAGUCGGAUGUGAAAUCCCCGGGCUCAACCUGGGAACUGCAUUCGAAACUGGCAGGCUAGAGUCUUGUAGAGGGGGGUAGAAUUCCAGGUGUAGCGGUGAAAUGCGUAGA